rnacentral:rRNA from 1 species
AGGCCCUACGGGACGCAGCAGUGAGGAAUAUUGGUCAAUGGGAGAGAUCCUGAACCAGCCAAGCCGCGUGAGGGAAGACGGCCCUAUGGGUUGUAAACCUCUUUUGUCGGAGAACAAAACCCGGGACGAGUCCCGGACUGCGUGUAUCCGAAGAAAAAGCAUCGGCUAACUCCGUGCCAGCAGCCGCGGUAAUACGGAGGAUGCGAGCGUUAUCCGGAUUUAUUGGGUUUAAAGGGUGCGUAGGCGGUCCGUUAAGUCAGCGGUAGAUUUGCGGGGCUCAACCCCGUCGAGCCGUUGAAACUGGG